CCUACGGGAGGCAGCAGUGAGGAAUAUUGGUCAAUGGCCGUAAGGCUGAACCAGCCAAGUAGCGUGAGGGAAGACUGCCCUAUGGGUCGUAAACCUCUUUUAUGCGGGGAUAAAGGUGUCCACGUGUGGAUGUUUGCAUGUACCUCAUGAAUAAGGACCGGCUAAUUCCGUGCCAGCAGCCGCGGUAAUACGGAAGGUCCGGGCGUUAUCCGGAUUUAUUGGGUUUAAAGGGAGCGUAGGCCGGUCUUUAAGCGUGCCGUGAAAUUUUGUGGCUCAACCAUGAGAGUGCGGCGCGAACUGGAGACCUGGAGUGGGCGGAAGGCAGGCGGAAUUCGUGGUGUAGCGGUGAAAUGCUUAGAUAUCGCGAAGAACCCCGAUUGCGAAGGCAGCCUGCCGCAGCGUGACUGACGCUGAAGCUCGAAAGCGCGGGUAUCGAACAGGAUUAGAUACCCCAGUAGUC
rnacentral:rRNA from 1 species